rnacentral:rRNA from 1 species
AGACUUUGAUCCUGGCUCAGAACGAACGCUGGCGGCAUGCCUAACACAUGCAAGUCGAACGAGACCUUCGGGUCUAGUGGCGCACGGGUGCGUAACGCGUGGGAAUCUGCCCUUUGCUUCGGAAUAACAGUUAGAAAUGACUGCUAAUACCGGAUGAUGUCGAAAGACCAAAGAUUUAUCGGCAAAGGAUGAGCCCGCGUAGGAUUAGGUAGUUGGUGAGGUAAAGGCUCACCAAGCCGACGAUCCUUAGCUGGUCUGAGAGGAUGAUCAGCCACACUGGGACUGAGACACGGCCCAGACUCCUACGGGAGGCAGCAGUGGGGAAUAUUGGACAAUGGGCGAAAGCCUGAUCCAGCAAUGCCGCGUGAGUGAUGAAGGCCUUAGGGUUGUAAAGCUCUUUUACCAGGGAUGAUAAUGACAGUACCUGGAGAAUAAGCUCCGGCUAACUCCGUGCCAGCAGCCGCGGUAAUACGGAGGGAGCUAGCGUUGUUCGGAAUUACUGGGCGUAAAGCGCACGUAGGCGGCUACUCAAGUCAGAGGUGAAAGCCC